GAUGAACGCUGGCGGCGUGCCUAAUACAUGCAAGUCGAGCGAACAGAUGAGGAGCUUGCUCCUCUGACGUUAGCGGCGGACGGGUGAGUAACACGUGGAUAACCUACCUAUAAGACUGGGAUAACUUCGGGAAACCGGAGCUAAUACCGGAUAAUAUAUUGAACCGCAUGGCUCAAUAGUGAAAGACGGUUUUGCUGUCACUUAUAGAUGGAUCCGCGCCGCAUUAGCUAGUUGGUAAGGUAACGGCUUACCAAGGCAACGAUGCGUAGCCGACCUGAGAGGGUGAUCGGCCACACUGGAACGGAGACACGGUCCAGACUCCUACGGGAGGCAGCAGUAGGGAAUCUUCCGCAAUGGGCGAAAGCCUGACGGAGCAACGCCGCGUGAGUGAUGAAGGUCUUCGGAUCGUAAAACUCUGUUAUUAGGGAAGAACAAAUGUGUAAGUAACUAUGCACGUCUUGACGGUACCUAAUCAGAAAGCCACGGCUAACUACGUG
rnacentral:rRNA from 1 species